rnacentral:rRNA from 1 species
CCUUCACUGGUUCGACUUGGGGAGUAAACAUUUUACUGUGAAAAAAUUAGAGUGUUUCAGGCAGGUUAUAGCCCGGAUACAUCAGCAUGGAAUAAUGGAAUAGGACUGAGUCCAUUUUAUUGGUUAUUGGAUUUGGUAAUGAUUAAUAGGGACAGUUGGGGGCAUUAGUAUUUAAUAGUCAGAGGUGAAAUUCUUGGAUUUAUUAAGGACUAACUAAUGCGAAAGCAUUUGCCAAAGAUGUUUUCAUUAAUCAAGAACGAAAGUUAGGGGAUCAAAGACGAUCAGAUACCGUCGUAGUCUUAACUAUAAACUAUACCGACUCGGGAUCGGCUGGAAUACUAUGUCCAGUCGGCACCGUAUGAGAAAUCAAAGUCUUUGGGUUCUGGGGGAAGUAUGGUCGCAAGGCUGAAACUUAAAGGAAUUGACGGAACAGCACACCAGAAGUGGAACCUGCGGCUUAAUUUGACUCAACACGGGGAAACUCACGU